rnacentral:rRNA from 1 species
AUACGUAGGGGGCGAGCGUUGUCCGGAAUGACUGGGCGUAAAGGGCGUGUAGGCGGCCGACUAAGUCUGGAGUGAAAGUCCUGUUUUCAAGGUGGGAAUUGCUUUGGAUACUGGUUGGCUUGAGUGCGGAAGAGGUAAGUGGAAUUUCCAGUGUAGCGGUGAAAUGCGUAGAGAUUGGGAGGAACACCAGUGGCGAAGGCGACUUACUGGGCCGUAACUGACGCUGAGGCGCGAAAGCGUGGGGAGCGAACAGGAUUAGAUACCCUGGUAGUCCACGCUGUAAACGAUGAAUGCUAGGUGUUGCGGGUAUCGACCCCUGCAGUGCCGGAGUAAACACAAUAAGCAUUCCGCCUGGGGAGUACGGCCGCAAGGUUGAAACUCAAAUGAAUUGACGGGG